GAGUUUGAUCAUGGCUCAGAUUGAACGCUGGCGGCAGGCCUAACACAUGCAAGUCGAGCGGCAGCACGGGGAGCUUGCUCCCUGGUGGCGAGCGGCGGACGGGUGAGUAAUGCAUAGGAAUCUGCCCGGUAGUGGGGGAUAACGUGGGGAAACCCACGCUAAUACCGCAUACGUCCUACGGGAGAAAGCGGAGGAUCUUCGGACUUCGCGCUAUCGGAUGAGCCUAUGUCGGAUUAGCUAGUUGGUAAGGUAACGGCUUACCAAGGCGACGAUCCGUAGCUGGUCUGAGAGGAUGAUCAGCCACACCGGGACUGAGACACGGCCCGGACUCCUACGGGAGGCAGCAGUGGGGAAUAUUGGACAAUGGGGGAAACCCUGAUCCAGCCAUGCCGCGUGUGUGAAGAAGGCUUUCGGGUUGUAAAGCACUUUCAGCGGGGAAGAAGGCAUGGCGAUUAAUACCCGCCAUGAAGGACAUCACCCGCAGAAGAAGCACCGGCUAACUCCGUGCCAGCAGCCGCGGUAAUACGGAGGGUGCAAGCGUUAAUCGGAAUUACUGGGCGUAAAGGGCGCGUAGGCGGCCUGCCAAGCCGGAUGUGAAAGCCCCGGGCUCAACCCGGGAACGGCAUUCGGAACUGGCAGGCUAGAGUGCAGGAGAGGAAGGUGGAAUUCCCGGUGUAGCGGUGAAAUGCGUAGAGAUCGGGAGGAAUACCAGUGGCGAAGGCGGCCUUCUGGACUGACACUGACGCUGAGGCGCGAAAGCGUGGGUAGCAAACAGGAUUAGAUACCCUGGUAGUCCACGCCGUAAACGAUGUCGACCAGCCGUUGGACCCCUUGAGGGUCUGGUGGCGCAGUUAACGCAAUAAGUCGACGGCCUGGGGAGUACGGCCGCAAGGGCUAAACUCAAAUG
rnacentral:rRNA from 1 species